UACGGAGGAUGCAAGCGUUAUCCGGAAUUAUUGGGCGUAAAGCGUCCGCAGGUGGCAAUUCAAGUCUGCUGUCAAAGGUCAGGGCUCAACCCUGAACAGGCAGUGGAAACUGAAUAGCUAGAGUGCGGUAGGGGCAGAGGGAAUUCCCAGUGUAGCGGUGAAAUGCGUAGAGAUUGGGAAGAACACCGGUGGCGAAAGCGCUCUGCUAGGCCGUAACUGACACUCAUGGACGAAAGCUAGGGGAGCGAAUGGG
rnacentral:rRNA from 1 species